GGGUCGGUAGCUCAAUCGGUAGAGCAGAUCCCUCUUAAGGAUAAGGUUCUGGGUUCGAUUCCCAGCCGACCCACCA
rnacentral:tRNA from 1 species